CACCCAAGGCUCCGGCAAGACCGGCGUGCUGCGGGCGUACAUCUCGCAACUAUUGACUUUCGGAUGGCUAACAUUCGUCUUUGACGUGAAGGGAGACAUGGUGGCGAGCUUNNNCCGAGGAGUUCAUUCUCGUCGCGCCGCAUGACGCACGGACAUGGGCUCUGGACCUUGGACCGGAGGUCCGCAAUCGUGCCGUCGCCCUGGAAUUCGCCGCCAAAU
rnacentral:misc_RNA from 1 species